AAUUUUGGAAACACCAAAAAAAAAAUAUACAACAAAAAACCCUAAACCACAAAAAACCCUAAAAUCCAUCUCUAACCAAAGGCAGCCGCCGGAGCCCCCCCACCUUUUGGAUUUUUUGUAUUUUUUCUUCCUUCACCCGGCAAAACAGCCCCCAAACCCACCGGAUUUUUUGUUCUUCCUCUUCUCCAGCCGGCUCAAGCCACACGGCCACCUCCCUCAGCUUUUGUUAUCCUCUUCUCCCUUGGAAACCAAAAACCCGGGUCUUCUCUGUCCCCACGCCAGUCCUCUCCCACAAGACAGCCCCAUCUCUCUUCUUCAUCGCCGGUGACUCCAGCUCUGACCGAGCCCAACCACCGCUACCACCAACAGGAGGAAGACCAGCCAGCGGCACGCCCACAGAUCGCGAUCUAUUCGCUCUUCCAUCUCCACAUCGACAGCCAUCUUCCUCUCCGCAGCAGCACCAGCGGCCGUAGGCUACAGCAGCGACGGCCACCAGCAGAUCCAUCCCAUCGCCACCGCAGCUUCAGCGGCCGCGACCGAUCUGCAACUGGCAGAGAAUCACACAGAGAAGAAGGCGAAACCGAGAGGAG
rnacentral:lncRNA from 1 species